GUGGGGAAUAUUGCACAAUGGAGGAAACUCUGAUGCAGCGACGCCGCGUGGAGGAAGAAGGUUUUCGGAUCGUAAACUCCUGUUGUCGGGGACGAUAAUGACGGUACCCGACAAGAAAGUGACGGCUAACUACGUGCCAGCAGCCGCGGUAAAACGUAGGUCACAAGCGUUGUCCGGAAUUACUGGGUGUAAAGGGAGCGCAGGCGGGGAGAUAAGUUGGGAGUGAAAACUAUGGGCUCAACCCAUAAAUUGCUUUCAAAACUAUCUUUCUUGAGUAGUGCAGAGGUAGGCGGAAUUCCCGGUGUAGCGGUGGAAUGCGUAGAUAUCGGGAGGAACACCAGUGGUGAAGGCGGCCUACUGGGCACCAACUGACGCUGAGGCUCGAAAGUAUGGGUAGCAAACAGGAUUAGAUACCCUAGUAGUCC
rnacentral:rRNA from 1 species